AUUCUUCUUGCAUAGAGAAACCUGGAGGCAUCAGAGGUCGGGUGGUGCUCAGGUUACAGUACUUUGGCGCAGGUACGGGAGAGGUGGUCCCUCUUCUGUUUGGAAAUGUGAAGCGCGUGUGUGUGUGCACGUGAACGUGGUGGACAAAGGCUACUUCCUCAUACUAUACAUGAAAGGGCCAUAGGAAGAUAAUCAAAAAGGAAAAGAAAGGAAAGAGAUCUUCAUGUAAACAGAGUCCCUCUUAUUGGCUGAAGUGAAGAGUCAUUCUGAGGAGGAUCUGAAAAUGUAGAGGUGAGACGCUAAUGGCAGAGUGGCCUCAGCUUUCACCAGGUUUUGAAAACAUCUGUGAGGGAGGCACCAAAUUCACUGUCCUGCAGCUUUGACUUCCCAAUCCUCGUUGCCUCGUGCUGCCAGCCUGUAUGCUGGUAGAAGUGUGUUCCUGGGAACAUCCUGGCAUCUUGUGUUAGGACUACACUGGUGCAUGGGACAGAUCACGCUCAAGAAGGUCGAUGUAAUUUGAAAAACAGAUGGGCUCUGCUUUGUGAAAACUCCAAGCAUAUGAAGUCUAACUUGAAUAAAAGGCAUCUCAAGAUGAAGGUUUCCUAUUUGUGAUUAUGAAAAAAAUGUCAAGAACAAGUCCCUUGGUGUUCUUAGACCAAAGUCAGAACAACAGACCUAGUCAAGAGGAACAGCAUCGAUUGUUAAUAUGCUGUCUGCUUUCAACCCCCAAAGGAUUAUUUUCAGAAUGAAAUGAUCUGUGGUCUUUAAGGGGUGGGGAUGGGAGGAGCUGAAGAACUCUCGAUCCUUCGAAGAGGUCCCAGUGGACUUGAUUUCUCAGUGGAAACAGAGGGAUUUCCUUCUGCAGUGGGAAAGAGACACGAAGUGAUAAACCGAGCACCCUCUUUGAAGAUUUCCCAGUAUAUUUGUCCCUAGAGGAGUGCGCCUCCGGGAGAUUUAUUGUUGGAAGCUUUUAUCCUCAAGCGUAAUUUUUAGAAGUAUGUAUUUCCCUAGAAACAGAGUAGCUCCAUUUAAAAGUCACAGGUGCCCCCAAGCUCUGCUGGGAAGAUUACUUCAAGUUUCAUUUAAUACCCAUCUCAGACCUGGAGGCAAAUUAUUUAGUUCAUCACUCUGAAAAUGGAUUUUUUUUCCCUUCUACUUCCCAUUUCAGCACCUGCCAUCUUGUGGAAAGGGACUUGCUUCCCAAGAGAUGAGAAAUGGACAGGAGUGGAGCCUGAGUCCAAGUACUGUGAUUUCUUAUCUCCCACAAAUGUGCAGGAAUAUUUAGUCAGGGAGAUCAUCUUCCUGGAGAAAUUGGCCCAUCCUACUCCUAGAGUGCUGUGUUAGUUGUAGUUCCUCCAGGUGCCACCUCGAAGACCAGGGUCAGAGUACAGUCGCUUACAUGGGAGGUAAAUCCACAAAACAGUGGCGGAAGAGGGGGAAAAUGAGACAAGGAUGGGAAGGCAAUCAGGAAAGGGCAUGUUAUCAAGCAAGGCACUGUUCUGGGCAAUUGGAGCUUACACCUGCUAGGGAAGCCUGAGACAGUGGGGAACAUGUACCUCACAGUGAUGCUCGUGAGGGCCGGGGGAACUGGGAUAUUAAUCCACCAAUUCCAUCUGUUACUGAUUGAGGGCUGCUUACUGGCGGUAUUGAUUCCCUGGCACUUCAGGUCAGAGAAAGCCUUCGGUCAUAGAGAACAUGAAGCCAUGGGGCCCAGAGUGCCCAGGGCUGAGUGGAUGUGGGCGAUGGCCAAUGACAAUGGCUACCAACAGUGGAUUGGAUCUUUGGCAUCUCAUUUCUUCUAAGUCUCCUUAACCUCUGUGCUUGGUGCUGAGGUGAAGCAAACAAUUAAGAUCCAGUGUUGUCCUUAGGAUGCUCACACUUCAGUGAGGGAGUUGAGGAAGCUAAACAGGUAAGCAAUUUUGAGCCUGUGAAGUUAGUAGUCUACGAAGAUAUAUUUAAGAAUAUGUGCAUCGUUUGUGAUAUGCAUAUUAUUUGUCAGGCUGUACUCUAAGCAUUUACCUUGACUAACUUAUUUGAUGCCCACAAGAACCCUCUAAAGUGGGUGCAUUUGCUGUCUCUUUUAGAGAUAAGGAAGUGGAGGUAUGGAAACAUUAAAGUGUUCAGCUAGUCUGUAGUGAAGCCAGGAUUUGAAUACAGGCUAUCUACUUCCAGAGCCCUGUUCUUAUCCACUAGGCUAUGGGUCAGGCUUUCUCAACCUUUAUUAUUAUUGCCAUUCUGUGCUGAAUAAUUCUUUGUCAUAGGGGCUGUCCUGUGCAUUGUAGGAUGCUUGGCAGCAUACCCUCUACCACUAGAAGCCAAUAGUACCUGCCUCCCCACCUCCUGUUCUGACAACCAAAAAUGUCUCCAGACAUUGCCAAAUGCCCACUGGGGCACAAAUAGCACCAAUUGAGAACCACUGCUGCCUAUUAUAAGGCAAUCAGUUUUUCCUAGGGAAGUGUUAUAGAAGGCAGAUGGAAAUUUCUUUUCUUGUUGUUUAAUCUUCCUUCUCAUAAAAAUAAGGAGAAAAGUAGUAUUUCAGAGCUGAUCGCAUCUCUAAAUCAACAGCCAAAUAUCUCCCAGGGCAGAGAAAAUGGAAGUAGAAAUCAAGUUAUUGAAAAAUCAACUUAAGUUUGUGUGUGUGUGUGUGUGUGUGUGUGUGCACCUGCGUUGUAAACAGGGCAUCCUUGCCCACUGUGCUCUGCUGCCAGCCCUUCGAACAGGCUGUUUCCAUGGUCAUUUUUAAAAUGUUGUCUUGCAACAUGGUGAACUGAGGAAUUAGCAAAAAGACCGUUAAAGGAGAAUAGGCAGUGUGUUCACACGGGAUUGUUUGUCUUAUUAUUUUUCAUUUUCCUUGGGCGAUUUUAUUUGUAAUUUUUUCGGAGUUUUGUUUUGAACUCUCUUUAUCCAAGUAAAUACAUCCUUCUUCCUUCUGUCACAAGCUGGUGGAUUCCAAGCUUUAUUUUCCAAAUCCUCCCAACCCUAUUUUAUCCAUGUGGCUUCUUGGAGCUGGUCAAGUCUGCAAACUGAUCCUUGAGAUUUUGGGGUGUUCUGUGUGAGGACAGUAGCCCUAAUUUUGGCAUUAAAGCGUCCUUGUUUGUCUCCUUUCUUUCUUCUUCCAAGAUACUCUUUAAAAAUUCAGUCUUCUCCAAAUUUGGCUUUGUAGCUAAUCUAUGUGAUCAGAGAAGCAUCAUUUUAGUGUUGGAAGCCUGAAUAAUUCGCUUUUUCAGUUGGUCGUGGAAGUAAAAUUCCAGAUGUUUAAGCAUUCUUUGUAACAAAGCUUUUUCAUGUGCCUGUGGAUAAUUUACUAAGCAGUGCUUUGUGAAUCUGCUUGCUUCUCUAUGACAAAUGCUUUUGAUGAUCGCUGCUCAUGCUCAUGCUCAAAUACAUAGUCACUCUAAUGACUUAAAUUACUUUUGCAUGGUAUUUAUGGGAGGUGAAAAGCCACCAUGGUCAAGAUCGUUGACUCCGGGGUUAGAUGGGACUGGGUUUGAAUCCUGACUUCACUACUAUCAGCUGUGUGAGACUAAGCAAGUGUGACAGGCAGAGUAAUGGCUCCCUGAGGAUGCUAGUGUCUUAAUCCUUGAAACCUGUGAAUAUGUUGCCUUACCUGGCAAAAGGGACUUUGCAGAUACGAUUAUGUUAAGAACCUUGAGGUGGGAGAUUAUCCUGAAUCAUCUGAGUGGAACAAAUGUCAUCCCAAAAAGGAGGUCAGAAUCAGAGAGGUUAGAAACUGCUAGCAUGUUGACUUUGAAAAUAGAAGAAGAGAUGACAAGCCAAAGAAUAUAAGAAGCUUUUAAAUGCUGGAAAAAGUAAGAAAAUGGACUCUCCUCUAGACCUAGAGCCUCCAGAAGGAACACAGCCCUGCUGACACCUUGAUUUUAGCCCAAUGUGACCCAGUUUUGACUGUUGACCUCCAGAACUGUAAGAUUAUGAAUUUGUGUUGUUUUAAAGCCACAACAUGUGUGCUAAUUUGUUAUAGUGACAAUAGGAAAUUAAUACAGCAAAGUGAUGCAAUCUCUCCUAACCAUUGUUUGGUCAUGUACAAAGUGGAAUAAUAACAAUAUUUACCCCUUCAAGCUAUUGUAAGGUGUAGAAGAGAGAGGCACUUGGCACUGGGCCCAGCAUAAAGUACAUAUUUAAAGGUAUUGAAUUAGUCAUGGGUUUUUUAUUUUGCCAUACCUUAGCAGUUCCAUCAUCCUUCCUAUUAUUAAGUUUCAGAAAUACUUAUCUGUGAUGGCUAAUUUUAUGUGUCAAUUUGGCAAGGCUAUGAUGCCCAGUUAUUUGGUCAAACAGUGGUCUAGAUGUUACUGUGAAGAUAUUUGUGAAUGUGAUUAGCAUUCAAAGCAAUUGCCUUUAAGUAAAGCAGAUUGCUUUCUUCAUAAUAUGGGUGGUACCUAUUCUAUUCGUUGAAGGCUUGAAGAGCAAAGACUGAGGUUUCCAAACGAAGACACCAUUAUGUCUCAAGACUGGAACAUGGAAACCCUGCCUGAGUUUUCUACCUGCUGGCCUACCUGCAGAUUCAGACACUAGACUGCAACAUCAACUCGUACUUGAAUUUCCAGUCUGCCUGUCUGCCCUACAGAUUUUGGACUUGCCAGCCCCCACAAUUGCAUGAGCAAAUUAAAAAAAAAAAUCUUAUUUCUCUCUCCCCCCAUCUCAUUGGUCUUUUUUUCCCUCUGGUGUACCCUGAUUAAUAUACCAUCCAAACUAAAUGCAACAUACCAAAACAUUUAGGAGCAUGAAAAAAGAAGAGGUUAGAAUGAAAAGCACAUAACAUUAAAACUUUCUAUUUUGUUAAGAACCUUGCAUUUCCUCGCUGAUAUUUAACCUGAGGACUACACCUCAGGUUUUUUCUUUCAGCUUUAACUCAAGAAUGUAUAAUUUGUAUUAUGCUAAUAACACAAAUAGUAUCCCAGCAAAAACAAAACCAAACAAAACAACAACAACAACAACAAAACUGGGAUGGUAUUGUGAUGUCUUUUAUAAUGGAGUUUGACUUUGGACUUAAGAGUUGAUAUUCAGCAAGGAUGAUUGGUAUUGCCGUACUAGUUUAUAUGUUGCUCCUUCUCUAGUUUCCUCUGAAGAUCCCCUACCUCAUCCUGGUCACCUAAGGUCCUACACUAAGACUCCUUAUUGAUCAAGCAGCUAUAGAAUGAAGAAUAAAGAGUAAAGAUUAAAGAAAAAAGCCUGCACACGGGAAUGUCUGUUCUGAUUGGUUAGUGCCAUGUGAGUGCUAUGUAGGUUGCUGAUUAUUUUAGUAUCACUCCUGCCUAAAAGUAAUAGUUAAGGAACAAAAUGCAAUAAAGAAUUGCUCAAC
rnacentral:lncRNA from 1 species